rfam:Enterobacter sp. 638, complete genome.
AGUGCUUCGAUGUGAACAUUGAGCACCAUAAUGGUGCGAUUUCCGUUAAAGUGCACUUUUUACGCUGCGUGAAAGCGAUCACAAAGCAACUCUGCAAUACUUGUUUGC